UACGUAGGGGGCAAGCGUUGUUCGGAAUCACUGGGCGUAAAGGGAGCGUAGGCGGAGAAAUAAGUCAGAAGUUUAAUGUACGGGCUUAACCCGUAAUCUGCUUCUGAUACUGUUUUUCUUGAGUAUGGGAGAGGGAGAUGGAAUUCCAGGUGUAGCGGUGGAAUGCGUAGAUAUCUGGAAGAACACCAGCUGCGAAGGCGGUCUCCUGGCCCAAUACUGACGCUGAGGCUCGAAAGCUAGGGGAGCAAACAGG
rnacentral:rRNA from 1 species